UGUAAGAACAUCGCGCGCAUAGAAACCAGCGCCCUCUGAUCUUUCGUCAGUUGGGGUUUAGCGCCGCAGACGAACGUUUAUAAACAUAAAAAAUUGCGUUGUUGGAAGGAAUGAUUGCGAAUUAAUUAAAUGAGCGCGUUAGUCGGUAAGAAAUUUCUAAUGUCGUCUUUAAGACAAGAAGUGUUAAAAACGUAUAAACAAAUCUUACGUGCCGGUAAAACGUGGCGCUGGCCGUCCGGUCAAGUCGAUCAGACCGAAGCUCAGAGGAAAUAUAUUAUAUCGGAAGCUAAAGAAUUAUUUCGAAGAAAUAAAUACGUGUCCGAUGAAUCUGCUAUAAAGCAGCAUUUGAUGGAGGCUCGAGCCAGAUUAGAAAUGGCUCUGCACUACAAAAAUCCGUAUCCACGUCCAGUAAACUUGCCUCCGGCAGCAGUGGCUAGUCAUCAAGGAAAGAAAUGGAAAUAUCAAGAAAAAAUAAGAACUCGUUCGAAACCCAUCUAUAUAAAAAGCAUCGAUCCAGAAAGUUAACAUUUGAAAAUCGAUGAGUUUAAUUUCGUCUUUUGUGAAUAAAAAUUCUCAAAUUUUUGGGACGUUUUACGUAUAUAUUCACAAAAUAACCUAACAAAUAGAAAAUUAUGAUGAGAACAUGGCCAACAAAAUAAAUAGAUUUCCAGUACCCAAAAAUGGCGUCGACACG